AUGUCAAGGCUAGGUGACGCGGCCAACCGGCCGGGGGAAGACUUCGUCGUGGUCCCUGCCACGCCGGAGAUGCAGGCGGAGUCGGCGCUGCUCUCCACCAACGCUGUCGUGGCCUGGUUCGAAGGGGUCCGUGAGGAUGUCCCUUGCCACACCGUGGCCGCUGCGUUCGCCGCCACCUUCGGCUUCCGGCCGGCGGACGUGAGUGUUGUGCGGCACUUCCCCGAGCAGUACCUCGUCAAGUUCAUGUACCCGCACAAUUGCGCGGACACCGUCAACCGUGGUGACUUCCUCGUCGGCAACUCCUCUCUCUUCAUCCGCGCCUGGAGGCUUGAGGCGCAUGCUGACAAUGAAGACAUGAUGUACCACGUCCGUUUGUGCAUCGAGGGGAUCCCGGUCCAUGCCUGGAAUGAGUACAUCACUUCGUUCGUCAUCGGCCGUCGGUGCUCCCUCGACUACAUCGAGCAGCGGUCUCUGCGCCGGGAGGACACGCGCGACCUGUCGCUCUGGGCGUGGACGUCCGACCCCAACGCCAUUCCUAAGGUGAAGUGGCUCACGCUGCCCGCCCGCGGCCACCGACGCAGCGGCCGGCGCGGCCUGAGACACCGUGUGCUGCUGCACCUGGACCUGCUCGAGGACCACUCCAAGGCGCGGGACGAUGACGUCGACCCAUCACCUCCUGACCUCUACGAGUACACCUGGUUCCGCCGUAUAGUGGACGGCACAGUGCGGCGGGGUGACAGGCGUGCUGGUCAGGCUAGUGACGUCCAGCGCCCGGCGCGGCGCAACGACGACGAUGACCGCGGCGGCCGCCGCGGCCGUGAUGGCCACCGCGCGCAGGGCGGUUGGCGCGACCGCAUCCGUCGCUCCCUGUCCAGGGGCGCCCGUGACCGUCAGCGGCAAGAUGGCCAGGAGAGGUCCCGUGAUCGCUCGAGCGGCACGGGCGGGAGGCGCCAUGGCGCUGAAAUUGUGGCCGCCCUGGGCGACGUUGCGCCGGCCGAGGCUCCCUUGGUCCUGACGGGCUCUGGCUCCGCUAGCGACGACGGGGCAUGCGCCUUGGAGCUCCAGCCGCGCACGCCAUCCCCGGUGCGGCUUCGCAGGGUUGCUGCCGAUCUGCAGCCAGCUGGGGUUGGCCUGUCCGUGCUCUUUGAAGAUCGGCAAGAGCCCUUGCUGCCCUCCCCUGCAUCAACGCCUCCCAGGCCUCCUGCUGCGCGCCGUAAGACUCUUGCUGGAGUGAGCAUUGCCCGGACAAGUGCGGGCCUCUCGCUGCACAGGACCAGUGCGAGGCUCAAAGCUGCUAGCAGAACAAGGGUGGUGCUGGUGCCGGCGGCUAAGGCGGCUGAGAUCCUGGUUGCUCGCAGUCUGGGGAUCGUCAAGGACGGAGAAGACAUCACGGCCAAGGCCCUGGAUGCAUUUGCUGAGCGUUUCAAGGAGCAGUUGCCGCUGGAGGUGAUCUCUGCCAUGCGAGAUUUGUUCAAGUUAGAUGAUGUGCAAGCAAUGGGUGUGGAGGACGCCCUCAUCCAGCAUGGAGGGGAGGGUGCUAUGGACGUGGAGAGGAUGGAGGAUGCCGCUGCUGCUCUGCAGGCCUCCACCUGA
rnacentral:rRNA from 1 species